rnacentral:misc_RNA from 1 species
GAUGAAGAACGCAGCGAAAUGCGAUAAGUAAUGUGAAUUGCAGAAUUCCGUGAAUCAUCAAAUCUUUGAACGCACAUUGCGCCCUCUGGUAUUCCGGGGGGCAUGCCUGUCCGAGCGUCAUUGCAACCCCUCAAGCACGGCUUGUGUGUUGGGCCCCCGUCCCGUGUGGACGAGCCCGAAAAGCAGUGGCGGCGUCGUGUUUCGGUGCCCGAGCGUAUGGGGCUUUGUCACUCGCUCUGAGGCCUGGCCGGCGUUGGCCGAACAAUCAAUUACUGGAUAGUCUUUAGACUCUCGACUAGUUGACCUCGGAUCAGGUAGGGAUACCCGCUGAACUUAAGCAUAUCAAUAAGCGGAGGA